rnacentral:rRNA from 1 species
AGUGGCGGACGGGUGAGUAACGCGUGAGAAUCUGCCUUGGGGUCGGGGACAACCACUGGAAACGGUGGCUAAUACCGGAUAAGCCGAUUGGUGAAAGAUUUAUUGCCCGAAGAGGAGCUCGCGUCUGAUUAUCUAGUUGGUGAGGUAAGAGCUCACCAAGGCAGCGAUCAGUAGCUGGUCUGAGAGGACGAUCAGCCACACUGGGACUGAGACACGGCCCAGACUCCUACGGGAGGCAGCAGUGGGGAAUUUUCCGCAAUGGGCGAAAGCCUGACGGAGCAAGACCGCGUGAGGGAGGAAGGCUCUUGGGUUGUAAACCUCUUUUCUCAGGGAAGAAGCUCUGACGGUACCUGAGGAAUCAGCCUCGGCUAACUCCGUGCCAGCAGCCGCGGUAAUACGGAGGAGGCAAGCGUUAUCCGGAAUUAUUGGGCGUAAAGCGUCCGCAGGUGGCGAUUCAAGUCUGCUGUCAAAGCACGGGGCUUAACUCCGUAAAGGCAGUGGAAACUGAAUAGCUAGAGUGCCGUAGGGGUAGAGGGAAUUCCCGGUGUAGCGGUGAAAUGCGUAGAGAUCGGGAAGAACAUCGGUGGCGAAAGCGCUCUACUGGACGGCAACUGACACUCAGGGACGAAAGCUAGGGGAGCGAAUGGGAUUAGAUACCCC